AGAGGUCAUUGGGGAGGGGACUACCACCCUCUGUGUCUGAAGUGUCAACUGUGUCAGAGACAGUUGACCCUGGGACAACAUGCUGAGCAUGAUGAGAAACCCUACUGCACUAACUGUUACAUGAAGACGUUUGGUCCCAGAGUUAGAUACUCAGGUAACAGGAGACUGAUGUCAAACUGUCACAGCUCAGCUUCCUCUUCCUCUUCCUCCUCCUAGGAACCAGUCUAACAAACCAAAAACCAACCAAAAUACAACCUAAUGAGAACUAACAGGCUAUCAACAAGGAUCUAUGUUCAACAAACCUGACAUUCAGCCAUCAAGCCAAUGACCAACCAACUAGACCCAACAUUCAGUCAACCAACGUUUGACCAACCAAGAAAUAACCAAUAGACAACCAAGCUGACAUUGAACAAACUACCAUCCAACCAACAGACAUCAGUGUCACUCUGAAAGAUCCCCUCUAUCAGUCAAUCAUAAAACACCAUGAUGUUGUGUUCAAUGGAGACAACGGUUGUUCUUCAAUAAAACAGAAGCUUCUACAGUC